AACAACCUGGCGGCGUGCUUAACACAUGCAAGUCGAGUGCGCGGUUGUAGCAAUACAACUGGCGCACGGCGCACGGGUGCGUAACACGUGGGCAAUCUGCCCUUCGAUGGGGAAUAACUCCGGGAAACCGAAGCUAAUUCCGCAUAACAUUCCCUGGACUCCGGUUUGGGGAAUCAAAGCAGUGAUGCGUCGGAGGAGGAGCCCGCGCCCGAUUAGCUAGUUGGUAGGGUAACGGCCUACCAAGGCUAUGAUCGGUAGCUGGUCUGAGAGGAUGGCCAGCCACACUGGAACUGAGACACGGUCCAGACUCCUACGGGAGGCAGCAGUGGGGAAUCUUGCGCAAUGGGCGAAAGCCUGACGCANCGACGCCGCGUGGGGGAUGAAGCUUCUCGGAGUGUAAACCCCUUUCGACUGGGACGAAUACCUCGCAAGAGGGGUGACGGUAUCAGUAGAAGAAGCCCCGGCUAACUACGUGCCAGCAGCCGCGGUAAGACGUAGGGGGCCAGCGUUGUUCGGAAUUACUGGGUGUAAAGGGUUCGUAGGCGGUGUGGCAAGUCGGGAGUGAAAUUUCUGGGCUCAACCCAGAAGCUGCUUCCGAAACUGCUGUGCUUUAAUUGUGGGAAAAGCGCGUGGAAUUGCAGGUGUANCGGUUAAAUGCGUANAUAUCUGCAGGAACACCCGUGGCGAAAGCGCGCGCUGGACCACAACUGACCUUAAGAACAAAAGCUAGGGGACAAACAGGAUUAAAUACCUGGUA
rnacentral:rRNA from 1 species